UACGUAGGGCGCAAGCGUUAUCCGGAAUUAUUGGGCGUAAAGAGCUCGUAGGCGGUCUGUUGCGUCGGCUGUGAAAACCCGAGGCUCAACCUCGGGCCUGCAGCCGAUACGGGCAGACUAGAGUUCGGCAGGGGAGACUGGAAUUCCUGGUGUAGCGGUGAAAUGCGCAGAUAUCAGGAGGAACACCGGUGGCGAAGGCGGGUCUCUGGGCCGAUACUGACGCUGAGGAGCGAAAGCGUGGGGAGCGAACAGG
rnacentral:rRNA from 1 species